GUUCCCAAACAAACCACUCUUUCCUAAUCUUGAAGUUGAUGUAAUGAGCACCCAAGGGUGCUAACUCUCGCUAGCAGCUGUCCUGCUGGAGGUACAGGAGAGGAAGACUGGUAGAAAGCAGCUGAAGGUACUCAAAAAAAAGAAAAUGUGGAAAUAAUCCAGGCUGGUCGCCUAUUGAUUGUUUCUCUCUGUGUGGUCUGGCCUUGGUGUUGUUGUAGGGUGGCUUUAAGAUUUCAUGGUAGGUGC